UUCUCCCAAGCACCAGGAGGCCAUUGGGCGGCGCAACUGUUGCGGUCGGCACCGAAUUGUUUGCGCACUCGGCCUCCUACUGGCAUCAAGCGCACCAGGAUUUAAAUUUUAACUCCGUCUCGACAGGUGAUCCCGGUGCUACUAAUUCCACUGAUCCCUCUUUGACUAUAUCCAUUGGCUCUGUUUAUCCUCCAUUUUUAGGGUGUUCUUUUUCAGAUGAUGGCAGGUACCUUCUCUUCCAUGUCCUUUCGAUUGUCAUUUUGGUUGUGCCUAAAUAAAGACUUGUUCAAUAGUGAGUGGGGGUUUCCAUUUUAUGUUCACUUCUCUUUCAUUGGUUUUUAUCUUACAAAUGGGGCUAUUAAUCCUAGGUGAGCACAUACACCAUAUAUUGUUGUUGUGUACUAUGUCAUAGUGUAAUAACAUUUGAUUACCAUGUAUGGGCAGACAUGUUUAUUCAGCAAGAUAAAUGAGGUGACAUACAAGAAAUUGGAUUUGAUAGAAUAACAAAGAGCAAACUCAAUUGUUUCUCCCCACACUUAUUGAGAAAUAUUGUUACCAGGUUCCAAAACAGUUGGUAGUAGAAUGGUAGGCCAUUGAGGCUGUGAAGUUGUGAAAGCACUUAAAGUUGAAUGUAGGAGGAUCGAUUCGGCACACCAACGGAGAAUAAAACUAAGUAAUUUCUCCGAGCAUGUAAUAUUGAGUUAUAAAAUUAAAAACAUGGUUAUGCCUCAGCUCUUUCUUUAAUUAGAUUAUAGUCAUGGCCCUACUAAUUCUCGCCAUCUUCAAGUGUAAAUGCGUCAUAUCAAAAAGUUCAAUUUUCAAUGGGCGCUCUUAGUUUUCCAUACAUUGUCAAAAACGGAGAUAAAGUAUCAUAGUUCCUUAUACAAUGCAGCCAGGUGAUUUGCUCUGUCAGGUUCCUCCAUGGCCAGUCAACAGCGAGGAGGGGACCACCCAGGCUUCGUGUUCCCCCUUCAGCUAUUUGCGUUAAACGGUCUCCUCUUUUUUAGGGUACCUGUACUGCCCCCCUCUUCUGAUUUGCCUUCCUAGGUAUUUACUCUCUGUGUCAUCCUCAGCUGCCAAUCUUGCAAGGUGUUAUUGUAUGCCAAUAGGAACCCCUUCUAGAGGAUGAGGUAGAUCCUCCAUCGUGCGCGACUUAUUUCCUUUCUUCUUACUGAAUCCCUAUUUUUUCGAUCUAAUCAUCAGCCUAGGUCACUAUUCCAUUUCUUCUUAAUGGUUCCCUUAUUAUUUGGGUCUAUGCCUUGGCCUAGGUUGCUCCUUUCCCCAACAUCUAUUUUAAUUGACCAAUUUAUAUUUGAUUUUUCCAUUAUUGGAGCUGCAUUUGGUAACCAUUGUUCCUGUCCACCAUUCGUGAACAUAUUUUCUUGCAGGUGCAAUAGAAGAGCAGCCAUGCAGACAUCUUUGGCGAAGGAUCUGUUACCUCAAGGAUUUCAAUGGAAGAUCACUUUGCAUGCCAUCUCAAAUCUGGGAACAUAAGGGUUGGCCAAAAUUUGUUUGAGCUGGACUUCAUUUUGGUUGACCAAGAGGUACCUUCUAAAUAUUCAGGUACUUUAUAUUCAUUUAUUAUCACCCAUAAACACAAUACAUGCAAUUAAUUUGAGUUAUUUAACCCCUUAUCUGUCACUAUCACUAUAUUAUGAAAAACAGUCUGUGGACACUUUUUUUUUACAUCAAGCAUGCAUGUACAUAAUACUAAUGUAUGCUGCCAAUCUACUUAAGUGGAGUAACUUUUCGACUUCUACUUAUCUGCUUUGCUUAUGAACUGAACUUGCCUACUUCACAAGCAAGUCAACCAAGGGAGGAUGAGUUAUUUAACCCCUUAUCUGUCAGUACCACUAUAUUAUGAAAAACAGUCGGUGGACACUUAUGUUUUUUUUUUGACAUCAAGCAUGCAUGUACAUCUACUUACAACGCUUAUAUUUUCAAGUGACCGACUUUCUGCAAUAUAGUCAAGGAAUGCUAAAUUCCCAUCUGUUUUAUGAGCAUGUAUCAAUGCAUAAUCAUUAGCCAUGUUGUUUUGUGCGUACACUAUACUGUACUGCAAAAAGUAGAAGUUUUACAAGAAGCGGCAGUUGUAUCAUCGAUCGUCAGCAUCACAAGAUGCCUGUGGUAUUUUUGGUGGUGUUGAUGAGUUAUUGGCACUAAUAAGAAAGAAAGGGAUUGAGAUGUAUUCUAUUAUUUGGCAAGUGUUGCGACUAAACAGGUCAAAAAUGAGUUUCAGCCACUUACUCUCUUUGUUGAACACGUGACAGAGAUGAGCAAAUCAAAGGAAAUAAUGCAGCUCAGAAGAUCUAGGUCAGUACCUGUUAGACUGUGAGAGGCAGCCUUGAUUUUGAUUUCUAAUUCCAGUCUAAUUGUACGACUAUGUAGAUAUUGGUUCCUCUUUAGCAUGAAGAUCUUUUAUAAUAUUGGAAUUGGAGAGCACAGACGCCUUUAA